UUUGUAAGUGUUUAAGGGCACAUGGUGGAUGCCUUGGCAUCAGGAGCCGAUGAAGGACGUGGGAGGCUGCGAUAUGCCUCGGGGAGCUGUCAACCGAGCGUGGAUCCGAGGAUGUCCGAAUGGGGAAACCCGGCACGAGUGAUGUCGUGUCACCCAACCCUGAAUAUAUAGGGGUUGGGGGGGAACGCGGGGAAGUGAAACAUCUCAGUACCCGUAGGAAAAGAAAACAAUAGUGAUUCCGUGAGUAGUGGCGAGCGAAAGCGGAGGAUGGCUAAACCGUGCGCAUGUGAUACCCGGCGGGGGUUGUGUGUGUGGUGUUGUGGGGUUUGUGUUCUGUGGUCCGCCGAUCGCAGCAUCAGUAGUGGCGUGUUAGUCGAAGUGGCCUGGGAUGGUCUGCCGUAGACGGUGAGAGCCCGGUAGGUGAAAACAUGUCAUCUGGUGUCAUGAAUACCCGAGUAGCAGCGGGCCCGUGGAAUCUGCUGUGAAUCUGCCGAGACCACUCGGUAAGCCUGAAUACUUCCUGAUGACCGAUAGCGGAUUAGUACCGUGAGGGAAUGGUGAAAAGUACCCCGGGAGGGGAGUGAAAGAGUACCUGAAACCGUGUGCCUACAAGCCGUCAGAGCCCUCCUUUGGUGGGGUGAUGGCGUGCCUUUUGAAGAAUGAGCCUGCGAGUCAGGGACAUGUCGCGAGGUUAACCCGGGUGGGGUAGCCGCAGCGAAAGCGAGUCUGAAUAGGGCGUAUCCCCGUAAGGGGUGUAGUGGUGUGUUCUGGACCCGAAGCGGAGUGAUCUACCCAUGGCCAGGGUGAAGCGCGGGUAAGACCGCGUGGAGGCCCGAACCCACUUAGGUUGAAGACUGAGGGGAUGAGUUGUGGGUAGGGGUGAAAGGCCAAUCAAACUCCGUGAUAGCUGGUUCUCCCCGAAAUGCAUUUAGGUGCAGCGUUGCGUGUUUCUUGCCGGAGGUAGAGCUACUGGAUGGCCGAUGGGCCCUACUAGGUUACUGACGUCAGCCAAACUCCGAAUGCCGGUAAGUGAAAGCGUGGCAGUGAGACGGCGGGGGAUAAGCUCCGUGCGUCGAGAGGGAAACAGCCCAGAUCGCCGGCUAAGGCCCCUAAGCGUGUGCUAAGUGGAAAAGGAUGUGCAGUCGCAUAGACAACCAGGAGGUUGGCUUAGAAGCAGCCACCCUUGAAAGAGUGCGUAAUAGCUCACUGGUCAAGUGAUUGUGCGCCGAUAAUGUAGCGGGGCUCAAGCACACCGCCGAAGCCGCGGCAACAUAGCAAUAUGUUGGGUAGGGGAGCGUCCUGCAUCCAGCGAAGCCACCGAGUGAUCGAGUGGUGGAGGGUGUGGGAGUGAGAAUGCAGGCAUGAGUAGCGAUAAGGCAAGUGAGAACCUUGCCCGCCGAAAGACCAAGGGUUCCUGGGCCAGGCCAGUCCGCCCAGGGUGAGUCGGGACCUAAGGCGAGGCCGACAGGCGUAGUCGAUGGACAACGGGUUGAUAUUCCCGUACCCGUGUGUGCGCGUCCCUGAUGAAUCAGUGGUACUAACCACCCAAAUCUCGGAUCAUCUGCGACCUUCGGGUCAAGGAGUUCUGGGGGCUGCGUGGGACCUUCACUGGUAGUAGUCAAGCGAUGGGGUGACGCAGGAAGGUAGCCGUACCAGUCAGUGGUAAUACUGGGGCAAGCCCGUAGGAAGAACAGUAGGCAAAUCCGCUGUUCACAUAUUCCGAGAGGUGAUGCAUAACCGGAUGAGGUGAAUUCGGUGAUCCUAUGCUGCCGAGAAAAGCCUCUAGCGAGCACACACACGGCCCGUACCCCAAACCAACACAGGUGGUCAGGUAGAGAAUACCAAGGCGUACGAGAGAACUAUGGUUAAGGAACUCGGCAAAAUACCCCCGUAACUUCGGGAGAAGGGGGGCCCACACACCGUCAACACCCUUCGCGGUGGGCAGCGGGAGUGGGUCGCAGAAACCAGUGAGAAGCGACUGUUUACUAAAAACACAGGUCCGUGCGAAGUCGCAAGACGAUGUAUACGGACUGACGCCUGCCCGGUGCUGGAAGGUUAAGAGGACCCGUUAACCCCUCGGGGUGAAGCGGAGAAUUUAAGCCCCAGUAAACGGCGGUGGUAACUAUAACCAUCCUAAGGUAGCGAAAUUCCUUGUCGGGUAAGUUCCGACCUGCACGAAUGGCGUAACGACUUCUCAACUGUCUCAACCAUAGACUCGGCGAAAUUGCACUACGAGUAAAGAUGCUCGUUACGCGCGGCAGGACGAAAAGACCCCGGGACCUUCACUAUAGCUUGGUAUUGAUGUUCGGUACGGUUUGUGUAGGAUAGGUGGGAGACUGUGAAACAAUUACGCCAGUAAUUGCGGAGUCGUUGUUGAAAUACCACUCUGAUCGUAUUGGACCUCUAACCUCGAACCGUCUAUCCGGUUCAGGAACAGUGCCUGGUGGGUAGUUUAACUGGGGCGGUUGCCUCCCAAAAUGUAACGGAGGCGCCCAAAGGUUCCCUCAACCUGGACGGCAAUCAGGUGUUGAGUGCAAGUGCACAAGGGAGCUUGACUGCAAGACGGACAUGUCAAGCAGGGACGAAAGUCGGGACUAGUGAUCCGGCACCCCCGAGUGGAAGGGGUGUCGCUCAACGGAUAAAAGGUACCCCGGGGAUAACAGGCUGAUCUUCCCCAAGAGUCCAUAUCGACGGGAUGGUUUGGCACCUCGAUGUCGGCUCGUCGCAUCCUGGGGCUGGAGCAGGUCCCAAGGGUUGGGCUGUUCGCCCAUUAAAGCGGCACGCGAGCUGGGUUUAGAACGUCGUGAGACAGUUCGGUCUCUAUCCGCCGCGCGCGUCAGAAGCUUGAGGAAACCUGUCCCUAGUACGAGAGGACCGGGACGGACGAACCUCUGGUCCACCAGUUGUCCCACCAGGGGCACCGCUGGAUAGCCACGUUCGGACAGGAUAACCGCUGAAAGCAUCUAAGCGGGAAACCCCCUCCAAGACCAGGCUUCUCACCCAUCAAGUGGGAUAAGGCCCCCCGCAGACCACGGGAUCAAUAGACCAGACCUACAAGCCCAGCAAUGAGCUCAGGGAACUGGCACUAACCGGCCGAAAACUUACACACAC
rnacentral:rRNA from 1 species